GAUGAACGCGUGACAGAAUGCUUAACACAUGCAAGUCGACGUCGAGUCUUCGGACUUGGGUGGCGCACGGGUGAGUAACGCGUAAAGAACUUGCCUCUUAGACCGGGACAACAUUUGGAAACGGAUGCUAAUACCGGAUAUUAUGGUUUCUUCGCAUGGGGGAAUCAUGAAAGCUACAUGCGCUAAGAGAGAGCUUUGCGUCCCAUUAGCUCGUUGGUGAGGUAACGGCCCACCAAGGCAAUGAUGGGUAGCCGGCCUGAGAGGGUGAACGGCCACAAGGGGACUGAGACACGGCCCUU
rnacentral:rRNA from 1 species